rnacentral:rRNA from 1 species
AGUGAACGCUGGCGGUAGGCCUAACACAUGCAAGUCGAACGGCAGCACAGUAAGAGCUUGCUCUUACGGGUGGCGAGUGGCGGACGGGUGAGGAAUACAUCGGAAUCUACUUUUUCGUGGGGGAUAACGUAGGGAAACUUACGCUAAUACCGCAUACGACCUACGGGUGAAAGCAGGGGAUCUUCGGACCUUGCGCGAUUGAAUGAGCCGAUGUCGGAUUAGCUAGUUGGCGGGGUAAAGGCCCACCAAGGCGACGAUCCGUAGCUGGUCUGAGAGGAUGAUCAGCCACACUGGAACUGAGACACGGUCCAGACUCCUACGGGAGGCAGCAGUGGGGAAUAUUGGACAAUGGGCGCAAGCCUGAUCCAGCCAUACCGCGUGGGUGAAGAAGGCCUUCGGGUUGUAAAGCCCUUUUGUUGGGAAAGAAAAGCAGCAGGUUAAGACCCCGCUGUUCUGACGGUACCCAAAGAACAAGCACCGGCUAACUUCGU